AAUAUAUUAACAUCAACAAUAAAUGUUUACUGUUUAAAAACUGGAUACAAAGCAACAUUCUGGUUAUAAAUGAUUUAUUAAAUAAAGAUGGAAAUAUAUCCUCAGACAUCAUACUAAGUAAACUAAAAAUAAGGAAAACUGGAUAGCUGAGCUAACAAAACUGAAGAAAGCUAUUCCAAAACAGUGGACCAAUAUCAUCAAAAACUCACCUUCUAAAC
rnacentral:lncRNA from 1 species